GGAAGUGGCAUACUGCUCAGUAACACGUAGCUAACCUAACCUCAAGACGGAAAUAACCCCGGGAAACUGGGGUCAAUGUCCGAUAGAUGUGAAUUCCUGGAAUGGUAUCACAUCCAAAUGUCAGUACACCAUGUUGUACGAACGCUUGAGGAUGGGGCUGCGGCCGAUCAGGCUGUUGGUGGGGUAAUGGCCCACCAAACCUUUGACCGGUAUGGGCCAUGAGAGUGGUAGCCCAGAGAUGGACACUGAGACGAGGGUCCAGGCCCUACGGGGCGCAGCCGGUACGAAACCUCCACAAUGCACGCAAGUGCGAUGGGGUUAUCUCGAGUGCUACCUGAAGAAGGUAGCUUUUCCAUGGUCUAAAUAGCCGUGGGAAUAAGGGGGGGGCAAGACUGGUGUCAGCCGCCGCGGUAACACCAGCCCCCCGAGUGGUAGGGAUGUUUAUUUGGCCUAAAGCGUCCGUAGCCGGCUAGGUAAAUUUCUCGUUAAAUCCAACGUCCUAAGCGUUUGGCUGCGAAAAAGACUGCCAAGCUAGAGGGUGGGAGAGGUCAGCGGUAUUCCUGGGGUAGGGGCGAAAUCCAUUGAACCCAGGAGGACCACCAGUGGCGAAGGCUGCUGACUAGAACACGCCUGACGGUGAGGGACGAAAGCUGGGGUAGCGAAUCGGAUUAGAUACCCGAGUAGUCCCAGCUGUAAACGAUGCAGACUAGGUGUUGGGUUGGCCACGCGCCGACUCAGUGCCGCAGGGAAGCCAUUAAGUCUGCCGCCUGGGAAGUACGGCCGCAAGGCUGAAACUUAAAGGAAUUGGCGGGGGAGCACCACCAGGCGUGAAGCCUGCGGUUUAAUUGGAGUCAACGCCGGGAACCUUACCGGGAGCGACAGCAGAGUGAAGGCCAGGCUAAAGGUCUUGCCAGACGAGCUGAGAGGAGGUGCAUGGCCGUCGCCAGUUCGUGCCGUGAGGUGUCCUCUUAAGUGAGGUAACGAACGAGACCCGCGCCGCAUGUUGCUAACAAGUCCUAAAGGGAUGUUGAGCACUCUUGCGGGACCGCAGCCGACAAGGCUGAGGAAGGUGCGGGCAACGGCAGGUCAGUAUGCCCCGAAUCUCCCGGGCCACACGCGGGCUGCAAUGGUAGAGACAGAGGGCUGCAACCCCGAAAGGGGAAGCCAAUCCCUAAACUCUACCUCAGUUGGGAUUGAGGGCUGCAACCC
rnacentral:rRNA from 1 species